ACGAACGCUGGCGGCGUGCUUCACACCUGCCAGUCGAACGGAAAGGCCCUGCUUUUGUGGGGUGCUCGAGUGGCGAACGGGUGAGUAACACGUGAGUAACCUGCCCUUGACUUUGGGAUAACUUCAGGAAACUGGGGCUAAUACCGGAUAGGAGCUCCUGCUGCAUGGUGGGGGUUGGAAAGUUUCGGCGGUUGGGGAUGGACUCGCGGCUUAUCAGCUUGUUGGUGGGGUAGUGGCUUACCAAGGCUUUGACGGGUAGCCGGCCUGAGAGGGUGACCGGCCACAUUGGGACUGAGAUACGGCCCAGACUCCUACGGGAGGCAGCAGUGGGGAAUAUUGCACAAUGGGCGGAAGCCUGAUGCAGCAACGCCGCGUGCGGGAUGACGGCCUUCGGGUUGUAAACCGCUUUAGCCUGUGACGAAGCGUGAGUGACGGUAAUGGGUAAAGAAGCACCGGCUAACUACGUG
rnacentral:rRNA from 1 species